rnacentral:rRNA from 1 species
UGGGUUUGACAUGGAUCGGGAGUGCUCAGAGAUGGGUGUGCCUCUUUUGGGGUCGGUUCACAGGUGGUGCAUGGCUGUCGUCAGCUCGUGUCGUGAGAUGUUGGGUUAAGUCCCGCAACGAGCGCAACCCUUGUUCACUGUUGCCAGCACGUUAUGGUGGGGACUCAGUGGAGACCGCCGGGGUCAACUCGGAGGAAGGUGGGGAUGACGUCAAGUCAUCAUGCCCCUUAU